AUUUUACAAUGUGUUCCCUCUUUUAGGGUCAGGUGAUAUGGACAGCCUCCCUAAGAACUCUCCUGGUAACCUUAGCAUGAGUAACCAGCCUGGGACCCCCAGGGAGGAUGGAGAGAUGGGAGGAAACUUCCUAAACCCUUUUCAGAAUGAAAGUUAUUCUCCAAACAUGACGAUGAGUGUGUGAAGGCUCUGAAGCAGGUUCGGUUCAGCCGCCCAUCAUGCUGGGGUGCAUCAGUGAAA